CCGCGUGACAAGCUAACAAUGACACACUUGUAUGUUAUCGCGGAAGUUGAUACACAUCAUGUACAUAGGCAGAUACUACAUCGCUGUCUGGUUGUUUGUGUAAACUCGGUUAAUAUUUUCUCUGGAUGAAGAUAACACAAUUCAUCGUCGCUAUAAAACAAAGGACGUUAAUAAACCAUGGGCAAAGGUGAAGGUCAGGGAGAAGGGAAAGGUCAAGGUGGAGCUGGACUCCUGAAUUCCAUCUUGUGGUUCUUCAUUCUUAUUUUGCUCGCUUGGCCAAUCGCAUUCUUUGUUGCUUGGUUGUAUGUACUACUACUUCCUUUCGGAGCUUGCAUCAAAGUUUGUCACGAGGCUUGUGAUUCGCUACUGAAAAUUGUCAGGUUGCCUUUUACAUGCGCAGAAAAUAUGAUUCACCAGAAUUCAGUAUGUUAGUCUAGUUCAGUUGUUCAAUUGGUACCCCAGGAACUGGUCAUCAAUAUUGAGAUCCGUUGAGGAUAUAUCGGAAGCAGCUGCUUGGUGUUGAGGACAUAUUCCUAUUAUAAAUGAUGGACGAUGUUUUAAUUGUGUAGAACACGGUCGGUUUCCAAAAAACUUCAUAUGGUGUUUACAGAAAAACUAUGUAAUACACAACCAGUUCCAGUUAAGCAACAUUCCGCAAAAAUCCGUCAUAAGUCAAGAAUAAAUAAGACAAACGAAAUUAACAAUAUCGUCGAUGGAACCGUUUAACUCCAAAUAUGGUGUACCCUUUGUAAAUACUGAACACCUCGGUUUAUCAAAACCUGACUUAAAAAAUAACAGCACUGACGAGGAUGACCAUGUGUCGUCUGCCACAUAAUUGUGUUUUGAUUUGACGAUAAACGUUUUCAAAUUUUCUAGCGUGGAUGAUAUCUAUACAAGUUAUGAAACGCACGCAUAGUGUUUUUUUUAAUGUUAAUGGCCUUGUACAGAUGUCAAUAUUUAUAAAUGCCGCCUCCAUUAAAACAAUAGUUUAGUACA